rnacentral:ncRNA from 2 species
UUUUUCCGACAGGGGAGCGUCAGACUUUUUAAAAGUCGCAAGACGCUGAGAGUGCGAUAGAUCGCAGACCCUCGAACCUGCCCCGGCUAGUACCGGCGAAGGAAGUCGAGCAUCUCGGAUG